rnacentral:rRNA from 1 species
CCUACGGGUGGCAGCAGUGGGGAAUAUUGGGCAAUGGGCGCAAGCCUGACCCAGCAACGCCGCGUGAAGGAAGAAGGCUUUCGGGUUGUAAACUUCUUUUUUUAGGGACGAAACAAGCGACGGGACCUGAGGAAUAAGCGUCGCCUAACUACGUGCCAGCAGCAGCGGUAAUACGUAGGUGGCAAGAGUUAUGCGGAUUUACUGGGUGUAAGGGGCGUGUAGGCGGGGACGGAAGUCAGAUGUGAAAUCCAGGGGCUCAACCAGUGCCCUGCAUUUGAAACUGUGUUUCUUGAGUACUGGAGAGGCAGGCGGAAUUCGUGGUGUAGCGGUGAAAUGCGUAGAUAUUAGGAGGAACACCAGUGGCGAAGGCGGUCUGCUGGAGAGCAACUGACGCUGAGGCGCGAAAGCGUGGGGAGCAAACAGGAUUAGAUACCCCAGUAGUC